rnacentral:rRNA from 1 species
AUGGCAAGAAAUGAUUUCGGAUUUGGUUCUUUGAUCAUAGAUAUCAAGCUUGAUGGUUCAAACUACAGGGAAUGGGCAUUUUCUGCCCGGACUGUCUUGAGGACGGCUGGUUUUGUUUCUCAUCUGACAGAUGAUCCACCUAGUCCAAAUGAUGAUGCAGCAAGGAAGUCUUGGCAAAAGAUCGAUGAUCGUGUGAUGGGAGUUUUAAUUCUGGGUGUUGAACCCUCACUCCGAAUGAGUCUUGAGCAUCACACUUCAGCUAAAGAGAUAUGGAAGUACUUUGAGCAGCGCUACCUUCAGCCCAGCAGUGCACUUCAUUUCUCCUUGUUGCAGAAUUUACACAACACUCGGCAGCCAGAAGACAUGUCCAUAGAAGAGUACUAUGGAGCUUUCACUCGCAUCACUGGGCAGCUAGGUUCCAUGGUUCCAAAGGGUAAUUCUGGUUGUGAGUCAUGUGCAGCAAAGGAAAAGUAUGACCAUCAGACUCUCAUGUUUCAGUUUGUGAUGGUCUCAAGCCAGACUUUGAGAACAUUCGCACUCAAUUGCUUGGUCGUACGACUCCUCCCACCUUGA